CAUUUAAUUGAUGACUUGUAUGAAGGAUUGGAUGAAAUAUAAACUGUCUCUUAAUUAUAUUUAGAAUUUAAUUUUUUAAUUAAAAAGUUAAAAUGAAUUAAAAAGACGAGAAGACCCUAUAGAGUUUUAUAAUUAAAUUAAUUGAGAUUUUUUGUAAGAUUAAAAUUAAAAUUAAUUUAUUUAUUUUGUUGGGGUGACAGAAAAAUAUGGAGAACUUUUUUUAUAAUAUUACAUAAAUAAGUGGUUAAAUGAUCCAAUAUUAUUGAUUAUAAGAAAAAAUUACCUUAGGGAUAACAGCGUAAUUUUUUUUUUUAGUUCAUAUAAAAAAAAAAGUUUGCGACCUCGAUGUUGGAUUAAGAUAAAAUUUAAAUGCAGAAG
rnacentral:rRNA from 1 species